CAGAGGGCAGCAGCAGUGGCAGCAGCAGAAAGCAGGCAGGAUAUCCCUUCGCUCCCUGCUCCCCCAGGACAGCAUGGGCAGCCACAAAUUAUAAAUUUGGAGCAUCAAAUACUUAUAUGGGAACAAACUUUAGAAAUGUAUGGAUCUGCCACAUUGCUGCUUUGUGACGCCAAAAGGAAAGUGGAAAGACAACUUGAUAAGUUUCUGCCAGGUCAACUCACAUGCUAUACUGAACGGGCAUUUCUAGGGGUGGCUUUUGCUUCAAGCAACUGGCAAGGAGAUGAAGGAAACGGCUGCCCAUAGUGGCAUAGUGAAUAUCCCAAUAACAGAUGUAGCAACAACUGGCGUUUCAUCCAGCUUUCCUUGAAAAAUGCAUGAGGAAAACACCACUGAGGAAAAAGCCAAUAUUAACUAUAUCUCAGCUCUCUAGCUCUUGCCAGCCUGCCAGCUCACCAAAUCGGAUUUCUAACUGUGGAUGUGCUACAGAUUAAUGUAAUACUGAAAGAUGAAUAUCACAAAUCCCUGCUUGUCUAACCAGAACAGUAAUGUCCUGAAAGACUGAAACUAUGUUCAUGGCUGCGAACGGUGAUCUCAGUUCCAACAGGUCAUGAAACCUUGGAAAAAGCCUGACCUUUAGCCCAAUUUUGCAGCUCAAGCUAUUAAAAAUCAAAGUGACACGUGUGCUUAAAUAACCACAAUGAUGUGAAGUUUAGCAAUAAGACUGAUAAUCAGGAAUCCUGGUUUUCUCUGUUUAAAAGUGACAGAUUCUCUGAUAAAACACACAAGCAAAUUCUCUAAUUAAACCCCCUCCAAAUCCAUGGUUUUCCAUGAUUAAAAUGAAAUGUCACUACACACACACACACACACACAGGUAUCAGUUGAACACAAUGUUUUAUAGCUAUAUUUACCAUCUUAAAGCAAUUUGGAAGCCCACCAGUGCCUCAAUCACUACAAUAAAAUACAUUAUAAAUAACUAUAAAUGUUGGCAUUCGAUUUUGCUCACCAGGAUGUGGGUCCAGCUGUGGCUGUCCCCUGCCGCUGUUUUGUGGCACCGAGUGGCGCUGAUACACCAGUGCCCGGCCCAUACCAU